rnacentral:lncRNA from 1 species
CCAGCUGCCUCUCUGAUCUGGUGCAUCAUGAGAGCUAGGAGGUUCAGAGCUACCUCUUGAAUCAUGCAAUGCAUAACCACAACGUCCCCCUUGGAUACAAAGUCAAAUCGGCUAGUCUUCAAAAAAAGAAUCCAUCCAAUACCAUGAUGGAGAAGUUGGAUCUCGACUAACAAUUGGUUGGCAUAAAGUUCUGUAAUCCCCUCUACAUCCGAUCUCUCUAAAAUAUCAUUCAAUGCAUCCUUUCGACUUGAUGGAUGUGUGGGUGUUAGACCUUACCUAGGGAGAUGCCAAAUUCUUCCCAAUCUCUGUUCUGUCAGAAUAAAUUUAACUCUUUUGACCAUGCAUUCCACUCUUGAACCUCUUUUUGUAGGGCUGUAGAACUCUCUUACAUAACUAGGAUAGGUCAAAAGGUCUAAACUAUGGAAGAAGUCCCAUCCCUACUAUCGUAUCCACUACCCUUGCCUGAAUCCUUCUCGAUCAAGGAACACAAAGUCCAUCUUAUAGGUAGUGGUCACUACCUGGUCACCAAGGGAA